rnacentral:misc_RNA from 1 species
AAGUCGUAACAAGGUAUCCGUAGGUGAACCUGCGGAUGGAUCAUUAAGAAGCAUCCUUUUUACUAUUAUAAAGGUCUUCAACCCUUGUGGUCUAAUAGAUUUGUAUUAGUUGGGUUAAAUUGAUCAACUAAACACAUGCGUGUUUGAUUGAUUUGCCCGACAUCAUCAUACUAAACCAUAUCACUUUUAUACAUUACUGACUGAUGUUGCCUUGCGACUAUUGUGAUUCUUCAUUGAUGAUGAUGAUCAAAAGUAACAAGUAAAACAAUUGUAAUCUUAAUACAACUGCUAGCAACGGAUCACUCGGCUCUCA